CCUACGGGGGGCAGCAGUGAGGAAUAUUGGUCAAUGGUCGGAAGACUGAACCAGCCAAGCCGCGUGAGGGAUGAAGGUUCAGUGUAUCGUAAACCUCUUUUGUAAGGGAACAAAGGCUGGGACGUGUCCCCGGAUGAGUGUACCUGAAGAAAAAGCAUCGGCUAACUCCGUGCCAGCAGCCGCGGUAAUACGGAGGAUGCGAGCGUUAUCCGGUUUUAUUGGGGUUAAAGGGUGCGCAGGCGGUCUGUUAAGUCAGCGGUAAAAGCCUGGGGCCAAACCCCGGCCCGCCGUUGAAACUGGCAGUCUCGAGUUGGAGAGAAGUAGGCGGAAUGCGCGGUGUAGCGGUGAAAUGCAUAGAUAUCGCGCAGAACCCCGAUUGCGAAGGCAGCAUGCCGGCUCCACACUGACGCUGAGGCACGAAAGCGUGGGUAUCGAACAGGAUUAGAUACCCGUGUAGUC
rnacentral:rRNA from 1 species